UACGUAGGGUGCAAGCGUUGUCCGGAAUUAUUGGGCGUAAAGAGCUCGUAGGCGGUUUGUCGCGUCUGGUGUGAAAAUCCAGGGCUUAACCCUGGACCUGCAUCGGGUACGGGCAGACUAGAGUGCGGUAGGGGAGAUCGGAAUUCCUGGUGUAGCGGUGAAAUGCGCAGAUAUCAGGAGGAACACCGGUGGCGAAGGCGGGUCUCUGGGCCGAUACUGACGCUGAGGAGCGAAAGCAUGGGGAGCGAACAGG
rnacentral:rRNA from 1 species